rnacentral:rRNA from 1 species
GACGAACGCUGGCGGCGUGCCUAAUACAUGCAAGUUGAGCGCUGAAGGUUGGUACUUGUACCGACUGGAUGAGCAGCGAACGGGUGAGUAACGCGUGGGGAAUCUGCCUUUGAGCGGGGGACAACAUUUGGAAACGAAUGCUAAUACCGCAUAAAAACUUUAAACACAAGUUUUAAGUUUGAAAGAUGCAAUUGCAUCACUCAAAGAUGAUCCCGCGUUGUAUUAGCUAGUUGGUGAGGUAAAGGCUCACCAAGGCGAUGAUACAUAGCCGACCUGAGAGGGUGAUCGGCCACAGUGGGACUGAGACACGGCCCAAACUCCUACGGGAGGCAGCAGGAGGGAAUCUUCGGCAAUGGACGAAAGUCUGACCGAGCAACGCCGCGUGAGUGAAGAAGGGUUUCGGAUCGUAAAACUCUGUUGGUAGAGAAGAACGUUGGUGAGAGUGGAAAGCUCAUCAAGUGACGGUAACUACCCAGAAAGGGACGGCUAACUACGUG